AUUGAACGCUGGCGGCAGGCCUAACACAUGCAAGUCGAACGAGUGGCGGACGGGUGAGUAAUGUCUGGGAAACUGCCUGAUAGAGGGGGAUAACUACUGGAAAGGGUAGCUAAUACCGCAUACCAUCGGAUGUGCCCAAAUGGGAUUCGCUAGUAGGGGGGGUAACGGCUCACCGAGGCGACGAUCCCUAGCUGGUCUGAGAGGAUGACCAGCCACACUGGAACUGAGACACGGCCCAGACUCCUACGGGAGGCAGCAGUGGGGAAUAUUGCACAAUGGGCGCAAGCCUGAUGCAGCCAUGCCGCGUGUAUGAAGAAGGCCUUCGGGUUGUAAAGUACUUUCAGCGGGGAGGCGUUACCUGCAGAAGAAGCACCGGCUAACUCCGUGCCAGCAGCCGCGGUAAUUC
rnacentral:rRNA from 1 species